rnacentral:rRNA from 1 species
AGAGUUUGAUCCUGGCUCAGGAUGAACGCUGGCGGCGUGCCUAAUACAUGCAAGUCGAGCGAACGGACGAGAAGCUUGCUUCUCUGAUGUUAGCGGCGGACGGGUGAGUAACACGUGGAUAACCUACCUAUAAGACUGGGAUAACUUCGGGAAACCGGAGCUAAUACCGGAUAAUAUUUUGAACCGCAUGGUUCAAAAGUGAAAGACGGUCUUGCUGUCACUUAUAGAUGGAUCCGCGCUGCAUUAGCUAGUUGGUAAGGUAACGGCUUACCAAGGCAACGAUGCAUAGCCGACCUGAGAGGGUGAUCGGCCACACUGGAACUGAGACACGGUCCAGACUCCUACGGGAGGCAGCAGUAGGGAAUCUUCCGCAAUGGGCGAAAGCCUGACGGAGCAACGCCGCGUGAGUGAUGAAGGUCUUCGGAUCGUAAAACUCUGUUAUUAGGGAAGAACAUAUGUGUAAGUAACUGUGCACAUCUUGACGGUACCUAAUCAGAAAGCCACGGCUAACUACGUGCCAGCAGCCGCGGUAAUACGUAGGUGGCAAGCGUUAUCCGGAAUUAUUGGGCGUAAAGCGCGCGUAGGCGGUUUUUUAAGUCUGAUGUGAAAGCCCACGGCUCAACCGUGGAGGGUCAUUGGAAACUGGAAAACUUGAGUGCAGAAGAGGAAAGUGGAAUUCCAUGUGUAGCGGUGAAAUGCGCAGAGAUAUGGAGGAACACCAGUGGCGAAGGCGACUUUCUGGUCUGUAACUGACGCUGAUGUGCGAAAGCGUGGGGAUCAAACAGGAUUAGAUACCCUGGUAGUCCACGCCGUAAACGAUGAGUGCUAAGUGUUAGGGGGUUUCCGCCCCUUAGUGCUGCAGCUAACGCAUUAAGCACUCCGCCUGGGGAGUACGACCGCAAGGUUGAAACUCAAAGGAAUUGACGGGGACCCGCACAAGCGGUGGAGCAUGUGGUUUAAUUCGAAGCAACGCGAAGAACCUUACCAAAUCUUGACAUCCUUUGACAACUCUAGAGAUAGAGCCUUCCCCUUCGGGGGACAAAGUGACAGGUGG